rnacentral:misc_RNA from 1 species
UCCGAUUUGUCACCGGCAGUCUCCCCAGAGUCCCCGACUUCACUCGCUGGCAACUGGGAGCGGGGGUUGCGCUCGUUGCGGGACUUAACCCAACAUCUCACGACACGAGCUGACGACAGCCAUGCAGCACCUGUCUCGGGACUCCGAAGGCGUCACCCCUGUUUCCAGGGGCUAAUCCGGCCAUGUCAAACCCAGGUAAGGUUCUUCGCGUUGCCUCGAAUUAAGCAACAUGCUCCACCGCUUGUGUGAGCCCCCGUCAAUUUCUUUGAGUUUUAGCCUUGCGACCGUACUCCCCAGGCGGCGCACUUAUCGUUUUUACUUCGACCGAUACGGCGUCAGAGCCGCACCGAUCUAGUGCGCAUCGUUUAGGGCGUGGACUAC